CGUCCGAUUAGCUUGCCGCGGGGUAACGGCCCACCGGGGCUACGAUCGGUAGGGGUUCUGAGAGGAAGGUCCCCCACAUUGGUACUGAGACACGGACCAAACUCCUACGGGAGGCAGCAGUGAGGAAUAUUGGUCAAUGGGCGUGAGCCUGAACCAGCCAAGUAGCGUGCAGGAAGACGGCCCUACGGGUUGUAAACUGCUUUUGCCGGGGAAUAAAGUUCGCCACGCGUGGCGUUUUGUAUGUACCCGGAGAAUAAGGACCGGCUAAUUCCGUGCC
rnacentral:rRNA from 1 species